UGGUGAAUAUUGCACAAUGGGCGCAAGCCUGAUGCAGCCAUGCCGCGUGUGUGAAGAAGGCCUUCGGGUUGUAAAGCACUUUCAGCGGGGAGGAAGGCGAUAAGGUUAAUAACCUUGUCGAUUGACGUUACCCGCAGAAGAAGCACCGGCUAACUCCGUGCCAGCAGCCGCGGUAAUACGGAGGGUGCAAGCGUUAAUCGGAAUUACUGGGCGUAAAGCGCACGCAGGCGGUCUGUCAAGUCGGAUGUGAAAUCCCCGGGCUCAACCUGGGAACUGCAUUCGAAACUGGCAGGCUAGAGUCUUGUAGAGGGGGGUAGAAUUCCAGGUGUAGCGGUGAAAUGCGUAGAGAUCUGGAGGAAUACCGGUGGCGAAGGCGGCCCCCUGGACAAAGACUGACGCUCAGGUGCGAAAGCGUGGGGAGCAAACAGG
rnacentral:rRNA from 1 species